CCAUGAUCCCAUCCUGCUUAUAAAUGAAGGACACAUCCUACAUGGGUUCAGUGAAGGAAGUAAAUGUGGGACAGAUUCUCUAGUAGAUCACAGCACUCUGGAGCACUUUCUAGCUCCCAUUAAAUAGCAUCUCUCAUUGCACUUCCAAGUCUGUCAACAACUGCUAGGGAGGACUGGCAUGCCUGCUGGGGCAGAUUUCAUCCAGGCUCCACAGGGAGCUGGCUCUCCACCUGGUUCUUCCCUUUUCUUGGUCACCAGCAGGAGCUGGAGAGACAACCCCACCUUCUGGGUGAUUUCUGUAGUGGAAGAGUUCAGUCUCUGGGUCUGACAGCUCAAGGACUGACUGCCCCUUCACCAGUUUGUGAACAGAAACUGACACCAGCUGCUGCAGGCCUGGGGACCAAAUGGCCCACCCAACUCCUUCAUUCACCCAGUCCAGAUGGAGAGCUAAUCAACAAAGCUGAGCACCCAAGUCAUUAAUAAGAUGGGAUUAGCCAAGGAUGAGCGGGAUGAUUGUCAUUAGUAGUAAUGUUUUUUCAGAGUUUUAACCCGUUCAAAGAAUGUUUUUGCCCAAAUGAGAUGACUCAGCCAAUGGGGUGCACAGAUAAAACCCUUGGAUCUGCAAGAGCAGGUGGAAGAAGUCUGCUUAGGAACCACAGCAUAAGGGUGGAAAACAGCAGCAGAGCUGGACCAGUCAUACUUCAAGAUACACCCACUGAGGUUAUGAGAGUUGAAUUUGAGGGGGAGUUUUACUCACUCUACUUCAGUUUUCAGGCCUUUCUUUGAAUUGAUGAGAAUUGCUUUGUAUUUCCUGUUCCUAAUGGAGUAGCUGAGCUCCAGGAGAGCUUGUGACUUGCUGGUUUAUAGCUGUGAUAAACUCAUGCCUCAUUCCCCCUAAAAUGAAAAAAAAAAGUCACAGUGACUCUCCUUUGCUUCAGGUCUCUUUCCCUGUGAUGGCAACAACUUAUUUUGGUUAAAUUCAUCAUAAAAGAAGAAAGAAAAAUUGUAGGAGACUACUUUCCUAGUGGAGGGAAGACAGCUUAUAAUAAAAGGAGUAUUGCA